CUGGAGUGAGCCCCCGAAGAAGCCCCAAAGAUCUGUCCGCCCUCGGGGUACCCAACUGGCGUGAAGUGGCGCAGAAUAGCGCAAUGGCGUUCUCUUGUGUCAGGGGGCCAAGAUCGUGGUUACAUAGGUCACUGAGCCAGUGAUGUCUGUGUAGUGUAUUUACUCAGCAGCGAGGUUUGUUGCUCGUGCCUUGAAAUCCUCGCAACGCUCUAGAUGCCAUUUUUCGAACCACACGCUACACCACCGUUCAGGAUCAGCAGCUUCGAUAUCAAACGCUUCAACUCCAAACAAGACUCCCGAUAAAACUUUGCUGUCCCGCAAAAUUUCCAGAGCGAUACCCAAGGAUGUUGCAAAUAAAUGAUAAAUUAUUGAA